UGCGGGGUCGUCUAACGGCAGGACAGCGGCCUUUGAAGCCGUUUAUGAAGGUCCGAUUCCUUCCCCCGCAG
rfam:Microgenomates bacterium GW2011_GWC1_37_12b TS39_C0020, whole genome shotgun sequence.